rnacentral:rRNA from 1 species
AUUGAACGCUGGCGGCAGGCCUAACACAUGCAAGUCGAGCGAGCGGCGGACGGGUGAGUAAUGUAUGGGGACUGCCCGAUAGAGGGGGAUAACUACUGGAAACGGUAGCUAAUACCGCAUACUAUCGGAUAACCCAUAUGGGAUUAGCUAGUAGGUGAGGUAAUGGUUCACCUAGGCGACGAUCUCUAUCUGGUCUGAGAGGAUGAUCAGCCACCCUUGAACUGAGACACGGCCCGGACUCCAACGGAGGCAGCAGUGGGGAAUAUUGCACAAUGGACGCAAGCCUGAUGCAGCCAUGCCGCGUGUAUGAAGGAGGCCCUAGGGUUGUAAAGUACUUUCAGUCGGAAGGCGCUACCGACAGAAGAAGCACCGGCUAACUCCGUGCCAGCAGCCGCGGUAAUUC